UACAGAGGUCUCAAGCGUUGUUCGGAUUCAUUGGGCGUAAAGGGUGCGUAGGUGGCGUCGUAAGUCGGGUGUGAAAUUUCGGAGCUUAACUCCGAAACUGCAUUCGAUACUGCGGUGCUUGAGGACUGGAGAGGAGACUGGAAUUUACGGUGUAGCAGUGAAAUGCGUAGAGAUCGUAAGGAAGACCAGUGGCGAAGGCGGGUCUCUGGACAGUUCCUGACACUGAGGCGCGACAGCGUGGGGAGCAAACAGG
rnacentral:rRNA from 1 species